rnacentral:rRNA from 1 species
AUGCGUGGCGGUGACGGGAGGACCAUCAGAAAAAGAGGAGGAUGGGGAACAAGGGAGGAGGCCAAGCAGGGGAGGAGAGACAUGAAGCAUUCAUUUGCUGCCGUUUCUCCAGGUGCCACCAUCGCUAUCAAUCUCGCAUCAAGAUGUCGACGGCAAUUCCAUCAUACCCGGUGUGAAGAAAUAAGUGCGGACAAUCUAAUACCAAAGGAAUUGGCCCUCAAAAUUGCAACCAAGAUUAGAGCUGGCGAAUGA